rnacentral:tRNA from 3 species
GGGUCGUUAGCUUAGUGGUAGAGCAGCGGACUCUUAAUCCGUCGGUCGAGCGUUCGAAUCGCUCACGACCCACCA